AUACGGAGGGUGCGAGCGUUAAUCGGAAUUACUGGGCGUAAAGCGCGCGUAGGCGGUUUGGUCAGUCGGAUGUGAAAGCCCUGGGCUCAACCUGGGAAUGGCAUUCGAUACUGCCUGACUAGAGUAUGGUAGAGGGAAGUGGAAUUUCCGGUGUAGCGGUGAAAUGCGUAGAUAUCGGAAGGAACACCAGUGGCGAAGGCGACUUCCUGGGCCAAUACUGACGCUAAGGUGCGAAAGCGUGGGGAGCAAACAGGAUUAGAAACCCCAGUAGUCC
rnacentral:rRNA from 1 species